UACGUAGGGGGCAAGCGUUGUCCGGAUUUAUUGGGCGUAAAGAGCGUGUAGGCGGCCAGACAGGUCCGUUGUGAAAACUCGAGGCUCAACCUCGAGAUGUCGAUGGAAACCGUCUGGCUAGAGUCCGGAAGAGGAGUGUGGAAUUCCUGGUGUAGCGGUGAAAUGCGCAGAUAUCAGGAAGAACACCUAUGGCGAAGGCAGCACUCUGGGACGGUACUGACGCUGAGACGUGAAAGCGUGGGGAGCGAACAGG
rnacentral:rRNA from 1 species